rnacentral:tRNA from 1 species
GUGGAGCAGCACGGUAGCUCGUCGGGCUCAUAACCCGAAGGUCGCAGGUUCAAAUCCUGUC